UUCUUGAGACAUUGCAGGCUCCUGUAUUUGAACAGUCUUUUGAUAUGGACUGCAUCAAGAUGGACUCUGGAAUAAGGUAUAGUUUCUCCUCAGAGGGUUUGAAUCAGAAUGUGACUAUCUUCUUGACGAUGGAGGAUAGCUGCUCCAGGCCUUUACCUGUGAUGUUCCUCCCAAACUCAACCAGAGGGCAGGUCCAGCAUAAAGUCACCAUUCCAGCUUUCAGAGGGCUACAGCAGCAGUAGGACCUCAGCUGGUUAUGACAAGCUUCCACGACAACAAUACCAGGCCACAAAGAGUCCUGGAGCUGAUAGGCAGUCAUUGCUAGGCUCCUUUCCAAGUCCGAGACCUCGUCAUAAGAACCUCUUGUCCUGCCAAAGUGCUGCCUCAAACCUUGGAAGUCCAGAUGUUCUUGUUGAUCAGGUUCUCCAUGAGGAGGAA